GCGCGGAGUGUGGGUGUUUGUGUGGGUUGUCCUCGCAGGGGGAGGCAGCGAGCUGGCGCGCGUGCGUGUGGUCUUUCUUCUUGGGUUACUUUCCCAGUACUUGUGUGAGCCAGGAGAGUUCGCACCCACGGGGUCAUGGGGGCUGUGCGUUUCAGUACAUACGAGCCCUGCAUCCCUGCGAAGCAGGUGGUGGUACCGGCUGCUGCGGUAGUUGAUGAAAAUAAACACUGGAUGUAUCUAGGCUAGUGAUUUGAGAGAAGUCCGUCCCAUUUUUUUGCUCUGUAGGCAUUUCUUGAACGAGCCGUGGAUUCCUUGUGCUGGAAAUACACUCCCAUCGCCCUACUCCGAGCAAGGCAGUGAAUCGGGCCGUGUGCGUUAGCGUGGCCAGGCUGAGAACCAGCCCAGCCGUGACUGCAGCCACCCAGGGAACUUCCAGAGCGUGUGGGACAAGGCAGGCCAGCAGCCUUGCUAAAACACCUCCAAAUGCACAGUGAACUCUGUGCCAGCUGCUGGGCAGCCAGGUACCAGCGCAACAGUGGAGCUCUCCCAGACCUUGGCCCGAUGAUGGUUUCAGGAAGAUGGGAGAGUUCGGAACACCAGUGGCAAAAGUGAAAGCAAGGGUUUUACUGACGGAGGAUGUUGAACCUCUGGUGUGUUACAACACGGUAUGAUAUGUUUACAGCUGACACACACUAGCGUGCUGAUAUGCAUCCUGGAUGUGACCGAAAAAGGCUUUGUCCACUUGUACAGACGUGUGUGUUCAGCCAGUCAGCUCUUUGUGUGGACCUGAGGGACUUGGAGAAGAUCCUCAGACAUUACUGGUGCUGAACUUGUGUGUGCUAUGGGACUUGAUAUUCGCAGAUAUAGCACUACCUUCUGCAUUGCCAUUACUGAACAACUGCAGUUUUCCACUGGAUAGCUGAUACAGAGAGAAUUAAAACAACUGUCUGCAGGAAAGCAUCAGUAAAGCAUUUCAUCUUUGUUUUGGCACUGCUUGCACAGCCCUAGAACUGUCAUUUUCAGUAACCGUAAGCUAAGCCAGUUUUAGUUAUGAGUGCUUUGACUUUAUCCAUACAUAAAGAACAUAAAUUAAUUUCAGGCUUGGGAAA